GGCGGAUGUAGCCAAGUGGAUCAGGGCAGUGGAUU
rnacentral:tRNA from 1 species